rnacentral:tRNA from 1 species
GGGUGGGUUGCUAGUGGAAAAGCACCAAAUUUUGCCCUUCGGGGACGAUGCGUUGAGGGUUAUCGUUCUUUAGUCGAACACCUAUUCCCUUACGCCCGGAGAUUGCAGGUUCGACUCCUGCUCCACCCC